UGUUUUUUUUUUUUUUUUGUGUGAUCUUUUUGACCUUUGAACAUUUGUGCUAGAAGCAACUUAGUUUCCCUUUUUCUAUUUUUUGUUUCAGUUUCAUAUCUUUGAUCUUUUUUUUCUUUUCUUUUUUGUUUGUUUGUUUGUUUAUAUCUUCAUCACCGUAAUUGAUUGAUAGACUUGAUGAUGAUGAAAUAAAGGAGGAGAUCUAUGUGCAUGUUUGUUCGAUGAGUUAGCCCUCUAAACCCUUUAGUCAAGUCAUAGAGACGAUGAUGACGGAGUUAAAGAGAUCUAUACGUAGGUUUUUGGCUCAAACCCAAAUUAUAAACAUUCAUAUCUAUCACAUUUGAUGUUGUUCUAUACGCAGGUUUUUGGCUCAAACCCAAAUUAUAAACAUUCAUAUCUAUCAUAGUUGAUGUCGUUUUGUUCAUCGAUUCACAUAUAAAUCCAGCAAAAUCCAAGGUUCUGACUGAGAUCUUUGUCUGUCCUCCUCUUUUUUUACAUACAUGGUCUACUUCAUCACUUUUCUUUCCAAUUUUGUGAUCUAAUCAAAUCUAAUUUUCUAAUUUUGUUUAUUCAAUCAGAUAUAAUUCUUUGUUAUUUGUUGAGAAACUAUACUAUUUGUAAAACAUUUUUUUAUUAGAGCUCCUCUCCUCACUCCAAUCCCCAAUGAGGGUUGCUCUCAUGUCCCCAUGCCAUUUUGAUGGGGUUUCUAGAAGGUGCUGAGUAAAUAGAUUAUAGUUUGGGGAGAAUGUUUUGAUGUAUAUUUUUAUUAUGUUUGUAGUUUUGUAUAUCAAUGCAAGCAGGAAAAUCUCCAUGAUUUGUUAAGAAUUACUAGAAGUAAAUAGUCUUUGUAAAAUAUCAAAAAUUAAGGAUGGAUUGAAUUAAUGUUUCUAUGAAUGAAGUUGGCUAUGUACCUUAAUAUCGAUUCUCUGUGUGUGUUGUACAUGGGCACUUUGGAACAUGUUAAUCCAUGCAAGUAUGAUUUGAUAAAGAAAUUUUUGGUUUGACACUAAUAUGAUAUUCCGAGCAAUGGAAACUUUCUUCUCUUUGUGAUCCUGAAUUUUAGUUUUAUAUUUGGUUGUUGCCAUUUCACGGUAUCUUCUUCACAACAUUUAUGGCCUCUUCAUGUUACCUUGGUUGCCGUACUGGCUAUUUUGUGGAUCAGAAUCAGAUUACCAUAUUUUGAAUUAUAUGUAUAUAUUCUGUAUAGAAACUCUAGUGCCUGUAAAUUAAAUUGGAAAUGUGUACAUAAUAUAAAAGGAUAUUGUGUUUUGUUUACCAAAAAUUCAAAAUAAGAAGGAAAAAACUUGCUAUUCAAGAACCUAUUUUUGUAAAUAUCAUUUUUUGUUUAAUUUUGUUCUCAAAAAUCUUAUUUAUUUGAAUAUAUGGUUUGCCAAUCAUGUCUAUUUUUGUCAUGGAAUAUGUAGUCUUGUAAAAUGGGCCAAGUUGGUGUUCCUGAAAUUGAUGCUGCUUUAUUACCCUUUUUUUAAAAAAAAAAUAAAAUAAAAAAUUUGCAGACUAUAUAUCACUAGAUGAGCUAUUUUUCUUCCUCCCUGUUUUUUCAAUUUUCUUUUAACUCUAGCAACAUUCAAUUAGAGAUGAAAGUAUGCCAAUUUCCACAAGCUAGUGAAAAUUCAUUAGAAAUUCUUGUUCUCUGUUUCAAUCAAUGUGUGUUGCCUUAGUCCCUUAAUACUAAAUUCUUACUCUGUUACAAGUUACAAUCUCAAUUACUAAUCUUGGUGGCACAAAAAUUGAUUUGAAAAUUGCUAGUAAUGAUAUCUAUAUGUCAUUGUUGCUGAGUUGCCUCAUAUGCUUACAUAUUUUGAAUAAUUUCUAAACAGAAGCUUUGUUUUUGGGGCUUGCUGAUAGCCCUUUAAAGGGCUUGAAUAAUUUGGAUACAUGCUACUGAUUGUGAUUUUGAGCAAGUCUCCAUGACCAUGAGUGCUUUCUGUAUUAGUAACUGACCAUAGAAAAACUGUUUAAAGCAUUUUAAAAAGUUUAGUUUUUGUGUAACUACCUGUUGGAUUUUAGUAUUGUGGUAAGUAAGUAGUAGGUAACCACUUGGUUGAAAUGGAGACAUAAAAGAUGAUCCUUUUGUCAAAUUUUCACUAAGCUUUCUAGGUUCCAGUAACGUAUACCAAAUCGUUUGAAGGUUGUAAAAACUUGAACUGAUUUUAACUUCUAAUAAAUCACAACAGUGGAAGAGAUGCCUAACUUAGCUGCAUCAUAUUUAUUAUUAUGUGAUAGUUCAUAGAAAAAUUUAUAAAUUUUCAGUGUAAUUGGAAUGAAUAUAUAGCGUGAUCCACUGUUUGAAUUGAACCUUUGCUCCAUGGAAUUCAUUACACUGGAGUCAGAGAGGAGUUGUGCAGUUUUAUCCAGUAGAGCUGGAGCAGGAGGUUUACAAGAGUACUCUUCAAUGCAGUUGAACAUUCUCAGAGGCGGCUUCUGUUUGUUUAUUUUUUUUUUGUGGCAUUCCAAAAUCUACUACCUCAUUACUAUGAUUCGUUAAUGUCAAAUGCAACCAUAAAGCAAGCUAAUUGGGAUUCUUCAAAAGUUCGUACAAAGUUGAGACAAGAGCUAAGGGAUGAGAUUAGAGACGAAUUGAGGGAGGAGAUGUGGGCAGAGCUUUCGACACAAAUACAACAAGUGAAAGUUGAAAUGUUGGUUAUUGUGUCUCAGGAAGGGAGUACAAAUCACAACAAACAGGUACUGGAUGCAUUGAGUGGCCACCGUGAACCUACGGAUUAUGAGGCCGAUGAGAACCCCCAUACACCACCACCAGAUGAUGCGAUGUGACCCCUUUUGAGUAUGUGAUGAUAUCUUCACAUAUCGAUAUUAGAGUUUACUAUUGACAUUAAAACAAGUUAUAAUAUAUAUAUUUUUUAUUUGUAUUGUCGAUACUUUUGUUUUGCUUUAGAUACAAAAAUUUAAGUUCUUGAAUAUAAAAAAUUAUUAGUAUCGUUGGAGGAUGUUUUAUAUAUUUUUGUAAAGAAUAUUUAGUUGACAAUUGUUAUGGGGUACAUAUAUACGUAUGAUUUUGUGGAUGUGAAUGUGAAUGUGAAUGUGAAUGUGAAUGUGAAUGUGAAUGUGUGAAUGUGAAUGUGAAUGUGAAUGUGGAUGUGGAUGUGGAUGUGGAUGUGGAUGUGAAUGCAUUUUAUUUUAGAAAAUAUUAAUAAUUUAUAGAGGGAAUGAAUUAAUAAAAUAUAUAUUGAUUUUAUAAAAAUAAUUUUAUUGCAACGGUGUAAACUGUCGCAAAUAUGGUAUUAAUUUAAUUCAACUUUUUUGCGACAUUUUAGACCGUCACUAAUAAUACUUUUGGCGACGGUUUGAACUGUCGCAAAUACGAUAUUAUUUUAAUUCUACUUUUUUUGCGACGUUUUAGACCGUCACUAAUAAUACUUUUCGCGACGUCAAAUGCCGUCGCUAAAAAAGUUUUAGCGACGACAAUCAAUAUCGUCACUAAAAGUAAAGUUUUUUCUCCUUUUUUGUGUCAGGUUAAACCGUCGCAAAAACCAUUGAUUAGUCGUCGCUACAAGAAAGCGACAGUUUGUUACCGUUGCAAAUACUUUUUGUCACGCCCCUUUCCGUCACCCCCCAUUUUCCGACGCAACUCCGUCGUAAAAAGUUUUUUGCGACGAUAUGUGAACCUUUUGCGACGUUUAAGACCGUCGCAAAAGCCCUGAUUUUUAGUAGUGUGGGGAUUCUUGUUUGUCGUUCAAUCAAUUACGGUGGUAUUUUGAUAAGGUAUUGAAGAACAAUCCAAGUAGUCGUUUUGAGUUAGAUUUUGAAGAUAACAAGCAUUUCAAAAGAGUGUUUGUGACUUUUCAUGCAUGCAUUGCUGGUUUCAAAUAUUAUCGGUCAUUGCUGUUUCUUGAUGGAACAUUUUUGAAAGGAUGAUACAAAGAAGUUAUGCUUGCUGCGACGGGAAAAGAUGGGAAUAAAGGUUUUUUUCCUAUAGCUUUUGCCGUUGUUGAUGUUGAGAAUAAAGACAAUUGGUGUUGAUUCCUUGAACAUUUAUGUGAAGUAUUGGGAUCAGAGAGGGUGAUAAGUUUCAUAUCAGAUCGACAUUGUGGUAUUGUGGAAGGAAUUGCUAGAUUUUUCUCUAAUUGCUAUCAUGGAUUUUGUCUUGAACAUCUAAAGAGAAAUUUGAGGGAUAAGUUAUCAUGUGGAAACACAAAUUUGGUUAGCGAGACGAUUGUGUCCAAAUUUUUAGAAUGUGCAUAUGCGCUAACAAAGG